GGGCGUCUCUAUCUCAUUGCGAGAGGAGGCGCACCUAGAGCGUACACGCUGAUACCCGAAAGAUGGUGAACUAUGCCUGGCCAGGACGAAGCCAGGGGAAACCCUGGUGGAGGUCCGCAGCGAUUCUGACGUGCAAAUCGAUCGUCGGAGCUGGGUUUAGGGGCGAAAGACCAAUCGAACCAUCUAGUAGCUGGUUCCCUCUGAAGUUUCCCUCAGGAUAGCUUGCGCUCGGAAACAACGAGUCUCAUCCGGUAGAGCGAAUGAUUAGAGGCCUUGGGGUCGAAACGACCUCAACCUAUUCUCAAACUCCAAAUAGAUGAGAACCCCGGCUUUCUUGAACACUGUUUAUGAAGCCGGGGGCUCGGAUCAGAGUGCCAAGUGGGCCAAUUUU
rnacentral:rRNA from 3 species